rnacentral:misc_RNA from 1 species
GAAAUGCGAUAAGUAAUGUGAAUUGCAGAAUUCAGUGAAUCAUCGAAUAUUUGAACGCACCUUGCGCUCCUUGGUAUUCCUUGGAGCAUGCCUGUUUGAGUAUCAUGAAAUCUUCAAAGUAAAUCUGUUGUUAACUCAAUUGGUUUCUACUUUGGUAUUGGAGGUCUUUGCAGCUUCACACCUGCUCCUCUUUGUUCAUUAGCUGGAUCUCAGUGUUAUGCUUGGUUCCACUCGGCGUGAUAAGUUAUCUAUCGCUGAGGACACUGUAAAAGGUGGCCAAGGUAAAUGCAGAUGAACCGCUUCUAAUAGUCCAUUGACUUGGACAAUACUUUUAUGAUCUGAUCUCAAAUCAGGUAGGACUACCCGCUGACCUUAAGC